UACGAAGGGGGCUAGCGUUGUUCGGAAUCACUGGGCGUAAAGCGCACGUAGGCGGAUUUGUUAGUCAGGGGUGAAAUCCCGGGGCUCAACCUCGGAACUGCCUUUGAUACUGCAGAUCUCGAGUCCGGAAGAGGUGAGUGGAAUUCCUAGUGUAGAGGUGAAAUUCGUAGAUAUUAGGAAGAACCCCAGUGGCGAAGGCGGCUCACUGGUCCGGUACUGACGCUGAGAUGCGAAAGCGUGGGGAGCAAUCAGG
rnacentral:rRNA from 1 species